rnacentral:rRNA from 1 species
GAUGAACGCUGGCGGCGUGCCUAAUACAUGCAAGUCGAGCGAAUGGAUUAAGAGCUUGCUCUUAUGAAGUUAGCGGCGGACGGGUGAGUAACACGUGGGUAACCUGCCCAUAAGACUGGGAUAACUCCGGGAAACCGGGGCUAAUACCGGAUAACAUUUGAACCGCAUGGUUCGAAAUUGAAAGGCGGCAUCGGCCGUCACUUAUGGAUGGACCCGCGUCGCAUUAGCAAGUUGGUGAGGUAACGGCUCACCGAGGCAACGAUGCGUAGCCGACCUGAGAGGGUGAUCGGCCACACUGGGACUGAGACACGGCCCAGACUCCUACGGGAGGCAGCAGUAGGGAAUCUUCCGCAAUGGACGAAAGUCUGACGGAGCAACGCCGCGUGAGUGAUGAAGACUUUCGGGUCGUAAAACUCUGUUGUUAGGGAAGAACAAGUGCUAGUUGAAUAAGCUGGCACCUUGACGGUACCUAACCAGAAAGCCACGGCUAACUACGUGCCAGCAGCCGCAGUAA